rnacentral:rRNA from 1 species
AGUUUGAUCCUGGCUCAGGAUGAACGCUGACAGAAUGCUUAACACAUGCAAGUCAACUUGAAUUUGGGUUUUUAACUUAGAUUUGGGUGGCGGACGGGUGAGUAACGCGUAAAGAACUUGCCUCACAGCUAGGGACAACAUUUAGAAAUGAAUGCUAAUACCUGAUAUUAUGAUUUUAAGGCAUCUUAGAAUUAUGAAAGCUAUAAGCACUGUGAGAGAGCUUUGCGUCCCAUUAGCUAGUUGGAGAGGUAACAGCUCACCAAGGCGAUGAUGGGUAGCCGGCCUGAGAGGGUGAACGGCCACAAGGGGACUGAGACACGGCCCUUACUCCUACGGGAGGCAGCAGUGGGGAAUAUUGGACAAUGGACCGAGAGUCUGAUCCAGCAAUUCUGUGUGCACGAUGAAGUUUUUCGGAAUGUAAAGUGCUUUCAGUUGGGAAGAAAAAAAUGACGGUACCAACAGAAGAAGUGACGGCUAAAUACGUGCCAGCAGCCGCGGUAAUACGUAUGUCACGAGCGUUAUCCGGAUUUAUUGGGCGUAAAGCGCGUCUAGGUGGUUAUGUAAGUCUGAUGUGAAAAUGCAGGGCUCAACUCUGUAUUGCGUUGGAAACUGUAUAACUAGAGUACUGGAGAGGUAAGCGGAACUACAAGUGUAGAGGUGAAAUUCGUAGAUAUUUGUAGGAAUGCCGAUGGGGAAGCCAGCUUACUGGACAGAUACUGACGCUAAAGCGCGAAAGCGUGGGUAGCAAACAGGAUUAGAUACCCUGGUAGUCCACGCUGUAAACGAUGAUUACUAGGUGUUGGGGGUCGAACCUCAGCGCCCAAGCAAACGCGAUAAGUAAUCCGCCUGGGGAGUACGUACGCAAGUAUGAAACUCAAAGGAAUUGACGGGGACCCGCACAAGCGGUGGAGCAUGUGGUUUAAUUCGACGCAACGCGAGGAACCUUACCAGCGUUUGACAUCUUAGGAAUGAGAUAGAGAUAUUUCAGUGUCCCUUCGGGGAAACCUAAAGACAGGUGGUGCAUGGCUGUCGUCAGCUCGUGUCGUGAGAUGUUGGGUUAAGUCCC